UUUUUCCUCCCUAAAAAAAAUCAGAGAUGGAGCAAUUACGAACAUUCCAUUUAGAUCAUCUUUAAUUAUUUAGUUUUACUUUACUAUUUCACUGUAAGUUUACUAGCAUUAAUUCCAAUGUUUGCAAUUAAAAUCAUAAUAAAGCCAAAUCUUGCAUUUUAUAAUUUAAAAAUAUCAUAGAGAAACUCUGACAAUUUAAGCACUUUUGUCCCAUAUAUGUCUUGAGUUGAAACAUUUGCUAGGACUAACCCUCUUGGAUGAGCAAUUUAUAUUCAAUGAAUUGACAAUUACCAAUUUAAUCUAUGACCUUGACCUUUAAAAUAAUGUUCUCAGCAGCUCUAGUCAGAGUAUGACCUGGCACAGGAGUGCUAGGUCCUCCACCUCUUGCAGUCUGAUUUCUCAGAAGAUGAUGAACCUUCAAGGAACACAGACACAGACACUACUUGUUUUUCUCAAUACAUUUUCCUAAAUCUUUGUUUUCUUCAGCAACAUAAACAAUACUCUUUUUUUUUUUUUUUCUGAAGGUAGGUGCCUUGGCACCACAUAGCAGCACAGAAUAUGGGUGGAAAGAAUUGCAUCUAGUUCAGUCAGCAAAAAAAUUAAGGGUGCCUCAAAAUUACAGUUCAAAACACAGCACUUUAAGUGGAUGGUGUGCAAAGGCUGAUCAGCUGCAUGGCAGAAGCUGUCUGAAGAAUGUCAACAUAGGGAUAUGAGCAAGCUGUAUUAAGUAAAUUUGUAAGAAAGGGUGCAUAUUUAAUUUUUUUUUGUAACACUCAUUUUCUCUCUUUACUCCUGUACUGCUUUCUCUGUUGCUUUGACUUGGGGCUAGAGCUUAGCGGAGAAAAAAGGAAAGGGAAGGAUAUUUUAGCUGAAGAUCUUUGAGUUUGGGUCAAUGGCUGCAGUACCUUGCAUUAUGUCUGCAUGUUCCCAGAUAUGGAUUCUCAGGACAGUCUGUCAGGGACUGACACAAUUCUCUUCCAGAGGGUGUCUGGAAGAGUUUGUACUGAUGGGGUUCUAAUAUGCUCAAAUCCUGUUUAUUGCAAUAGCCAAAGCAAACUUUUGAUCAGAAGACCAUGCUGGAUAUUAUUAUUGCUCAAAGCCCCCAUCUACCAACCUAAACUGCUGUCUAGGGAGAUUUUCUACUUGCUAGAGGCUUAGUGACAUUGUGGAGACACUGAUGUGGCUUGUCCAGUCCUCAGAAUAUUGACCUCUGCUGCUCUUCCAGGUGGACACCAACGCUGAUACCAGGGGAGACAUGGAGUGUACUGAGCAUGUCUACAUGACUGAGGGUGAGAGCAUGAGGGCAAAAUGGUUUUGUCUUUGAUCCUACUGGUUAGGGCAAAGGACUUUACAAGGAGUGAGUGAAUCCUUUGGAUCAACAAGUACUGUGCAGCUUGUGUCAAUGACAGGGAUUAUUUUUUUAUGACCAUGGGUCCUUUGUGAGAAUUAAAGAUUGUUGGGGAAGGGGUGGGAUCCCACCUGACUAGGCAGGCCAGAAACAUCUUUGACAACAGACUGGCCUACUUGGUAAAGAGAUAGGAAAAUUGGAAAGAUGGAGGAAGGAAAUGACAACCCAUAAUCAAGUGAGGGGCUGGGCUGGGCUGACAAGAAAAAGAUGUAGCUUGAACAGGAGAGACCUUGAAACCAGCAGUGCAGGACUGAAGGGGACCUAAAGCAUAUACACUCAAAUAAGGAAGUGCUAAGAGGACAACAUUAUAAGGGAAACUCUCACACUUUUCCUGGGAAAAGGCCUGUUUAGGGACCUUCUUAGAGGAAUCCAAUAGGAGAUGGACCUGAGGAGAAGAGAGUUCCAGGCGAGUUUACUAAUUUUUCAAGGACCACCUCCUCCAAGCUCAAGAACAGUCCAUACUGAUUUGCAGAAAGCCAAACAGAAGUGGCAGGAGGUCUUCACAGACAGACAAUGAGAUCCUGAUAAAACACUCAUGUAAAGGAAGCAUCACAAGAGGUGGGAAUAGGGACAGGUGACCUGUGAGGAAUAUAGAGAUGCUGUCUGGGCAUGCAGGAAUAGCAUUAGAAAAGACAAAGCCUACCAGGACUUGAAUUGGUUAAGGGACAUGAAAGGCCACCAGAAGGGUUUCUACAAGUGUCUCUGCAACAACGGCCCUAUGUUGAAUGGAACCAGGCAACUGUAACAAAUUACACAAAAAUGGCCAGGAUACGCAAUGCCGCCUCUGCCUAAAUUUCACAGAUAAGAUUUGCCUUCUGGAAUUGUAGGUCCCUGAAAACAGGGUGAAAAUUUGGAGCAAGGAAGACUUACCUUGGUGGAGGAGGGUCAGGUUAGGGAACAUUUAAACCAACCACACACACAGAAGUCCGUGGCUGACAGAUGCAGCUAUGAGUGUUGAGGGAGAAGGUAAUGCCAUUGUGAGGCCACUCUCAAUUGUCUUUGAAGGAUGUUGGCAAUUAGGGGAGGUUACAGAGGACUGGAAGAAAGCAAAUGUCACCCUUCAGGAAGGGCAAGGAGGAAUAUGCAGGGAACUAUAGGCUGGUCAGCCUCACCUUGAUCCCUAAAGAAGCUGAUGGAACAACUUGUCCUGGGAACCACUUCCAAACACAUGCAAGACAAAAAGGUGACUGGAAGUAGUCAGCAUGGAUUUACAAAGGGCAGAUUGUACCUCACCCUACCAGUAGCCUUCUACAAUGAAAUGACUGGCGUGGAGGAGGAAGGGACAGCAGUGGAUGUUUAUUUUUGCUUACGCUGAAAGCACACUUUCCACACUGUACCCCAUAACAUCCUCAUAGACAAACUGAUGAUUAAAUGGUGAGAUGGACUGAAAACUGGCAGUAUAACUGGGCCCAGAGGGUUGUGAUCAGCAGCAAGAAGUCCAGCUGGAGGUCGGUUACUGGUAGUGUACCCCAGGGGUCAACACUGGGGCCAAUACUGUUUAACAUCUUCAUUAAUGACCUGCGUGGUAGGACAGCAUGCAUUCUCAGUGAGUUUUCAAAACUUAAUCCAACACUGGGAGGACUGGCUGAUAUACGAGACAUUUGAACUGCCUUGAGAGGCUCGGUAAAUGGGUUGACAGGAACCUCAUGAAAUUCAACCAAGGGAGAUUUAAAGUCCUGCCUCUGAGGAGGAACAACUCCAGGCACCAGGACAACCUGGGAGUGAUAGGCUACAAAACAGCUUGGCAGAAAAGGACUUGGGGGUCAAUACCAAGUUGACCAUGAGACAGCAAUGUGCCCUUGCAGCAAAGAAAGCCAACAGCCUCCUGGGUUGCACCAGCUUGAGGGAGGUGUUCCUUCCUCUCCAGUCCACUCUGGUGAGAUGUAUCUAGAGUGCUGAGUCCAGUCCUGGGAUCUCCAGUAAGACAUGGACAUACAUAUCAUGUCUGGAAAAGAGCUGUUCUGGUUAAGGAAGUAUUUCUCAUUAAGGGUAUUUCUCAUAUGAGGAGAGGCUGAGAGAGCCAGGACUAUUUAGUCUUGAGAAGAGAAGGCUCAGGGAAAUUUUAUCAAUAUUUAUGAACACCUGCUCAGGAGGUAGUAAAGAAGACAGAGGCAGACUCUUCUCAGUGGUGCCCAGUGAAAAGACAAGGGGCAAUGGAAACAAAUUAAAAUGUAGUAAAUUUCAUUUAAACAUAUGAAAAAACUACUUCACUCUGAGAGUGAUCAAACACUGGCAUAGGAUGCCAGUUUGAAGCCUUGGAGAUGUUCAAACCCAAUUCAGUACAGGCCUCAUCAACCUGCUCUAGCUGUUCCUGCUUUGAGCAGGGAUUUGGACUAGAUGAUUGUCAGAAGUGCCUUCCAGUCUCAGCCAUUCUGUGAUUCUAUGAUGUUUACAUAAGAGCCUUGUUGACAUUUGAUGUUCAAGGACAUGAGAUUGAAAAGCUGCAAAAAACCUCUUGGCUAAAUUUUUCAUAAGGAAAAAUGCAAUGUAAUACCAUUAGUUUAAAACUACCAGAACAGUAGCACAACAUGUCUGACAUACACAAUGCUCACACGUCUGAUUAAUUCGAAAGUGUUCAUGAAGAAGGCAAAUCCAAAUUAUUCUCUAUGGUUUGCAUGACAGAUUCGCAUGGGGAAAGAAAGCAUUCAUACUUGGGGAAUUGGAAGUUGACUAUAUCCUCUGUUGCUUAUUAGAUCUUUUUCUAGAAAGCCAUGCUGAGUCCCAGUUAUAAAUAUAGCAUUUUAGUGUUCUGCAGAAGAGUAGGCUGCUUCUGCAUCAUUUAAUCUUAUAAUCUCUAUGCAUUUCAAAUAAUAUCUGCAGCCUAAUUUAGGCUGUUUUCUUAUAAAAUAUAACAGUAUUUAAAAGGUGAUAGUACUGAUAAAACUGUUUUGGCUUUUUUGCUUGUCAUUCUGUUUUGUUGCUUUAUUUUGAUGCUUUUACUUUUCAUCUUUCUAUGUCUCCCAUUGCAAUAAGCAGGCCUGGCAUUCUUAAGAACUCUCUGGUAUUGCUACCUCAUCUGAAAAGGGAUGAAGGGCAGAAACUAGGCAGAAAAAUAAAAGGAAGUUGCAAAGGAUGGGAGAAGAGCAAAGGAGAAGAAGUUUGGUGAGAGUUGUGGAAUUCGCUAAGUGAAGGAACCAAAGCCUUUAAAAAUAAGGGGUGGAAUUGAUUCCACCUCACUUCAGAUGUUCUCAACUUGAAUCUCUCUACUGGGUUGCCUUAAUAGUGUAGAAAGAUAAGCCCUUGUACUGUGUAAUUCACCUGGGCUGUUUCAGUUGUCUGCUUGAAGACGGGAGGAAUUGCGUCCUAGAAAUACCUCUUUCUGUCUACUGACGAUACAAGGCCUAGAGGAUGAUCUCAAAUAUAAAUGUGUGCAUUUACUGAAUGAACAUAAAUUCUCUAGUAAUAUUUUCAGCACCUAAAGUGAAGAAAAGGAAGCUGAACAUCAGAAGCAGUCUGGGCAGCUUGUACCUGACAAAGUGGAGUGUCCUAGAGCACAUGGAACACAAAUUACCCAGUAUAUUUAUUUUGAAAGUUUCAUGCUGGUUUUCCUUUCUGUUUUCUCCAGUGGUGUCUGGGUAUGAAAUGCUGAGAGUAUACAUAGCAUCAGGUUGUUUGGCUUGGGUUUAGGUCUGUAAGGGUAACAUCUCCCAAGUUCACCUGGCUGCCUGAGCCCUUCUUCCUCAGAUACUCUGGAAUUACUUGAUGCAGCUUGAUGAUGGUUGCAAAAUUCCAGAUAUGAGAAGAUAUGCAAAUCUUAUCUGAUGUGUUUCUCCUUUCCAUUAGCGCAGGUCUGUUGUUUCUUAGUAUUAUUACAAAUGCCAGAAGAACAAGAAAGAUGGUUAAGAUUCCUGGGAGGUCUAGAUGACAGCCUAGAACUGCUGUGCUCAAAAGGAAUAAUUAAUAGUGGAUAAAAUAACAAGGAACUCAAAGAAGUGGUGAAAAGUGCCAUUCUGCAAAAUCCCUGAAGGGAUUCUGAAAAAAAUUUUCCCACAUGUCAAAGACCCAGAGUAGCAUGGCUCUAUGGGAAAGGGUGUUCAGGACCUGAAAAAUCUCUCAAUCUAGAGCCACAGAUAUGUUUGAGGGUCAGUCUGGACUGGAUCGCCUACCAGGCACAUCAGGAAGACAGUGAAAGGAUUCAGCUCAAGGCAAAAACAUAACUUGCAUUUUUGGGUUUUCUGGAGGAGAAGAAACUUUAUAUCCACAUGGGAAAGCACUUUCAGUGCUGGAAAUCACAUUGUAAGUGGUCUGUAAAAAUGAUCCUUCCUUAAAAGAGAAAACUUAGCUAGGUGAGUUAGUUUAAUAAUAAUUUUCUGGAGAAGCUAUGAAUAAUCCUAAGCAAUAAAGAUUUUUGCCUUUAAUACUUUUCAUCCUCAUAUUUUCUAAUGAAAAAAGAAAGAAAGUGUGAGAAGGAAGGAAGGAAAGAAAAGCAUGUUUUUCCCUGAUUUAUGUGCGUUUCAGUUCAUGAUGAAUGAUCAGAGGUAGUGUGCAGGUAGAAUGGAUUUUUAGCAGCCAAGCAACUUGUCUGGGUAAGGUUUUUCUCCUUAAUGCCAUUUAGCACCACUAUUUUUGGGUGAGAUGUUAAAGAGAGAAAAAAUGGGCCAUGUGAAAAUAUGCCAUGCCAUGCCUAGAUGCAAUUUCCAUGUGAAUAAUUUUAAAUCUUCACUUGCAAGAUGUCAAAUGUCAGGGAACAAAUGCAGACAACCUUAGCUUCUUCUCUAAAGGAAAUCGUAAGUACAAGCUCACGUUUUUUGUCUGCCUGCCUACCAGUCCCCAUCUUGCCUGUCCCAUUUCUUCCACUCUAUGUUGUAAGCCACUGAUGGAUUUUAGCUAAUCCAAGGGAGAAGUGAAAAACAGAAGUAACACAGUUCCUACCAGCUCUGUAAACCAGCCACAUGAAGACAUAAGCAAGACCACAGGAAGAACCUCCUGUCUCUUAUCAGGUAACAAAACACUCCAGAUAGAAGAGAGAGCUUAUCAAUGGCCCAGUUUUGAGAUGGCCGUCAGUGAAUGUUGCAGUUACAAUGAGUCUACAAGUCCUUGAUCUCAGUGCUCAGCAGCACUUGUUGAUAUAUCCUCCUACAAUCGCCUUAUCACAAAAGAAAAGAUGAUGCACAAUGCUGAUACUCUAACUCUAUACUAUUGAUAGCAGUGACAGUAUUAUAUCAGCAUUUUAUUCAGAGUUCCUGCUCUGUGUUGUACUCUCUUUUUUUGUACCCUUUCUCUUCUCUCUGCUCAAUGGCAUGCACACAGACACUCCACAAAAGUUUUGGCAGAGUUUAGUUUUGGAAUCCUGAAAUUGAGAGUAACAGCCAGAGUUUUUGCAGGGAGAAACACUGGACAGAUAUUUCAGCAAUGGGCUGGGACUCGGCAGGCUGAUAUUUAAUUCCUCAUGCUCUGCAUCUUCUGUGCUUUUGUUCCUUUCUCUCUAGAAUGGGAAUAAUGAAGUUUCCUUUUUCACACCUUUUUUCAUGUAGAUUGUAAUGGCUAAGGUUCCUCAGUAGGCCUAGCAAAGGUCUGAUCCUGUGUGAACAUUGGGAAAACCCCUCCUUGGCAGGGAGAAGUAGAAAGGAAUAUUGCUUCAUCUCAGCCAAGAACUGCAGAGCAGAUGUUUUGCUAUCCUUAUCGAGACAAAGCUCAGACUCAGUGAAAGCACCAUCAAAAUGAGUGCAAUCAGGAGAAUUUGGAGCUCAGAAAAGGUGCCAGACUGACAACACUGGAAACUCAGUCUCCAUUUAUCUGCAGGCUGCUGGAUUUUCAUAGAGUCAUAGAAUGGCUUGGGUUGGAAGGGACCUUAAAGACUGACUAGUUCCGACAUCCCCUUCCACAGGAUGCCAUACACAACAUACAAGUCACUCAGUCUCAUUCAACCUGGCCUUGAAAACUUGCAGGGAUGGAGCAUCCACAGCUUCUCUGUUCCAGUGUUUCAUCACCUUCACAAAAAGAAUUUCUUCCUAAUAUAAAAUCUAAGCCUCCCCUCUUUCAUUUUGAAGCCAUUCCCCUUGUCCUGUCACAACAUGCUCUUGCAAAAAUUCCCUCUCCAGCUCUCUUGUAAGACUUCUGAGGUACUGGAAGGUGCUGUAAGUUCUCUCUGGAGUCUUCUCCAGACUGAACAGUUCCAACUCUCUCAGUCUGUCCUCAUUUAAGAGAUGCUCCAGCUCUCUGAUCAUUUUUGUGUCCCUCCUCUGGACUUGUUCCAACAGGUCCACGACAUUCCUUUGCUGGGAGCCCCAGAGCUGGGUGCAGUACUCCAGGUGGGGUCUCACCAGAGCAGAGGGGCAGAAUCCCCUCCCUCAACCUGCUGGCCACACUCCUUUUGAUGCAGCCCAGGACAUAGCUGGUGGUUUUGCACCACUACUGUGUGUCAACUUGAUAGGAAAGUUCAUGGAUUAGAGGGCACCUCUUGCUUUCAGACAUUAUUUUCUUGGUCUGUCAACCCUGAUGUGCUGGUUUGGCUGAGGAAGAGUUCAUUUUCUUCACAUUGGCUAGUAUGGAGCUGUGUUUUGGAUUUAUGCUGAACACAGGGUUGAUAAUAUAGAGUAGGUUUUAUUAUUGCUGAGCAGUGCUUACAUAGAGCCAAGGCCUUCUCUUCAUAUUGCCACACUGGCAAGAAAGUUGGGGGUCCAUGGCAGAUUGGGACAUGUGACACAAACUGACCGAAGGGAUAUUCUGUACCAUGUGACAUCAUGCUCAGUCUAUAAAAGUGGCAGAAAGAAGGAGGAAGGGGGAGGAUGUUUGGAGUGAUGGCAUUUGUUCUUUGCAAGUAACUGUUAUAUGUGAUGAGGCCCUACUUUCCUGGAGAUGGCUGAACACCUGCCUGCCCAUGGGAAGCAGUGAAUUAAUUCUAUGUUUGCUUUGCUUUUACUUUCUCUAUUAACUGUCUUUAUCUCAACCCACGAGUUUUCCAGCUUUUACCUUUCUGAUUUUCUUCCCAAUCCCACUGGUGGGGGAGUGAGCAAGCGGCUGUGUGGUGCUUGGCUGCUGGCUGUGUUUAAACAACUGACAACGACAGCAAGUUACUGGGCUUGAAACUAUUCCUGCAGGCAGUGAGGAAGAGGAGUAUCUUCUGGCAGGGAGUUGCUGUGUAAUCUGACACUUCUGUAGUGCGUCUCAAAUUAAAGGUCCUGUCGGAAAGUCUCCGACUAGCAGUUUCAAAGGGGCAUACUGGGGAGGAGGACAAGAAACUAAUGAUCCAUCCUGAAGCUCCACCCUGAGACUGAAUGUAACUACCUGAGAUAUGACAAUGUGUUUCCACAGUGAAAAGCAUUCAGAGCCAUUCAUUUGCACCCCGGGGGAGGGUUCAUGAAGAACUGCAGCCCAUGAGAAGGACUGAGAUUGGGGAAGUUUGUGGAGGACUGUCUCCCGUGGGAGGGACUCCAUGCUGGAGCAGGAGAAGCGUGAGGAGCCCUCCACCUGAUGAGGAAGGAGUGGCAGAGACAGCUUGUGAUGAACAGAUCAUAAUCCCCAUUCCCUGUCCCCCUGCACUGCUGGAGGGGAGGAGGAAUCAGGAGUUAAGCCUGGG